GAGGGUAUAGCUCAGUGGUAGAGAGCAUGCUUAGCGUGCAUGAGGUCCUGGGUUCAAUCCCCAGUACUUCCA
rnacentral:tRNA from 1 species